rnacentral:rRNA from 1 species
GAUGAACGCUAGCGGCAGGCCUAACACAUGCAAGUCGAGGGGCAGCACGAUUGAGCUUGCUUAAUUGGUGGCGACCGGCGCACGGGUGCGUAACGCGUAUGCAACCUACCUUAUACUGGGGUAUAGCCCGGAGAAAUUCGGAUUAAUCCCCCAUAGUAUUAUUGAAUGGCAUCAUUUGAUAAUUAAAGGCUACGGUAUAAGAUGGGCAUGCGUCCCAUUAGCUAGAUGGUGAGGUAACGGCUCACCAUGGCGACGAUGGGUAGGGGGCCUGAGAGGGUGGUCCCCCACACUGGUACUGAGACACGGACCAGACUCCUACGGGAGGCAGCAGUGAGGAAUAUUGGUCAAUGGGCGCAAGCCUGAACCAGCCAUGCCGCGUGCAGGA